rnacentral:rRNA from 1 species
AUUGAACGCUGGCGGCAUGCUUUACACAUGCAAGUCGAACGGUAACAGGGAGCUUGCUCCGCUGACGAGUGGCGAACGGGUGAGUAAUGCGUCGGAACGUGCCGAGUAGUGGGGGAUAACGCAUCGAAAGGUGUGCUAAUACCGCAUACGUACUGAGGUAGAAAGUGGGGGACUUUCGGGCCUCACGCUAUUCGAGCGGCCGACGUCGGAUUAGCUAGUUGGUGAGGUAAUGGCUCACCAAGGCGACGAUCCGUAACUGGUCUGAGAGGAUGAUCAGUCACACUGGAACUGAGACACGGUCCAGACGCCUACGGGAGGCAGCAGUGGGGAAUAUUGGACAAUGGGGGGAACCCUGAUCCAGCCAUGCCGCGUGUGUGAAGAAGGCCUUAUGGUUGUAAAGCACUUUAAGCGAGGAGGAGGCUCUUUUGGUUAAUACCCAGGAUGAGUGGACGUUACUCGCAGAAUAAGCACCGGCUAACUCUGUGCCAGCCGCCGCGGUAAAAC